rnacentral:rRNA from 1 species
UACGCAGGGGGCUAGCGUUGCUCGGAAUCACUGGGCGUAAAGCGCACGUAGGCGGGUUGCUAAGUCAGGGGUGAAAUCCUGGAGCUCAACUCCAGAACUGCCCUUGAUACUGGCGGCCUUGAGUCCGGGAGAGGUGAGUGGAACUGCGAGUGUAGAGGUGAAAUUCGUAGAUAUUCGCAAGAACACCAGUGGCGAAGGCGGCUCACUGGCCCGGUACUGACGCUGAGGUGCGAAAGCGUGGGGAGCAAACAGG